rnacentral:rRNA from 1 species
UGGGGAAUCUUGGACAAUGGGGGCAACCCUGAUCCAGCCAUGCCGCGUGAGUGAUGAAGGCCUUAGGGUCGUAAAGCUCUUUCGCCUGUGAAGAUAAUGACGGUAGCAGGUAAAGAAACCCCGGCUAACUCCGUGCCAGCAGCCGCGGUAAUACGGAGGGGGUUAGCGUUGUUCGGAAUUACUGGGCGUAAAGCGCACGUAGGCGGACCAGAAAGUUGGGGGUGAAAUCCCGGGGGCUCAACCCCGGAACUGCCUCCAAAACUAUUGGUCUAGAGUUCGAGAGAGGUGAGUGGAAUUCCAAGUGUAGAGGUGAAAUUCGUAGAUAUUUGGAGGAACACCAGUGGCGAAGGCGGCUCACUGGCUCGAUACUGACGCUGAGGUGCGAAAGUGUGGGGAGCAAAACAGGAUUAGAUACCCUGGGUAGUCCACACCGUAAAACGAUGAAUGCCAGUCGUCGGGGUAGCAUGCUAUUCGGUGACACACCUAACGGAUU